GAGGGGUGAACGGCCACAUUGGACUGAGACACGGCCCAAACUCCUACGGGAGGCAGCAG
rnacentral:rRNA from 1 species